rnacentral:rRNA from 1 species
AGUCGGGCGGUAACCGGGGAGCUUGCUCCCGGGUGACGAGCGGCGGACGGGUGAGUAAUGUCUGGGAAACUGCCUGAUGGAGGGGGAUAACUACUGGAAACGGUAGCUAAUACCGCAUAACGUCGCAAGACCAAAGAGGGGGACCUUCGGGCCUCUUGCCAUCAGAUGUGCCCAGAUGGGAUUAGCUAGUAGGUGGGGUAACGGCUCACCUAGGCGACGAUCCCUAGCUGGUCUGAGAGGAUGACCAGCCACACUGGAACUGAGACACGGUCCAGACUCCUACGGGAGGCAGCAGUGGGGAAUAUUGCACAAUGGGCGCAAGCCUGAUGCAGCCAUGCCGCGUGUAUGAAGAAGGCCUUCGGGUUGUAAAGUACUUUCAGCGGGGAGGAAGGUGUUGUGGUUAAUAACCACAGCAAUUGACGUUACCCGCAGAAGAAGCACCGGCUAACUCCGUGCCAGCAGCCGCGGUAAUACGGAGGGUGCAAGCGUUAAUCGGAAUUACUGGGCGUAAAGCGCACGCAGGCGGUCUGUCAAGUCGGAUGUGAAAUCCCCGGGCUCAACCUGGGAACUGCAUUCGAAACUGGCAGGCUAGAGUCUUGUAGAGGGGGGUAGAAUUCCAGGUGUAGCGGUGAAAUGCGUAGAGAUCUGGAGGAAUACCGGUGGCGAAAGCGGCCCCCCUGGACAAAGACUGACGCUCAAGUGCGAAAGCGUGGGGAAGCAACAGGAUUAGAUACCCCUGGUAGCCACGCCCGAAACGAUGUCGACUUGGAAGUUGUGCCCCUGAAGGCUGGCUUCCCGGAACUAACCCGUUAAGUCGACCGCCUGGGGAGUACGGCCGCAAGGUUAAAACUCAAAUGAAUUGACGGGGGCCCGCACAAGCGGUGGAGCAUGUGGUUUAAUUCGAUGCAACGCGAAGAACCUUACCUACUCUUGACAUCCAGAGAACUUUCCAGAGAUGGAUUGGUGCCUUCGGGAACUCUGAGACAGGUGCUGCAUGGCUGUCGUCAGCUCGUGUUGUGAAAUGUUGGGUUAAGUCCCGCAACGAGCGCAACCCUUAUCCUUUGUUGCCAGCGGUUAGGCCGGGAACUCAAAGGAGACUGCCAGUGAUAAACUGGAGGAAGGUGGGGAUGACGUCAAGUCAUCAUGGCCCUUACGAGUAGGGCUACACACGUGCUACAAUGGCGCAUACAAAGAGAAGCGACCUCGCGAGAGCAAGCGGACCUCAUAAAGUGCGUCGUAGUCCGGAUUGGAGUCUGCAACUCGACUCCAUGAAGUCGGAAUCGCUAGUAAUCGUAGAUCAGAAUGCUACGGUGAAUACGUUCCCGGGCCUUGUACACACCGCCCGUCACACCAUGGGAGUGGGUUGCAAAAGAAGUAGGUAGCUUAACCUUCGGGAGGGCCCUUACCAC